rnacentral:tRNA from 1 species
GACCUCAUAGCUCAGUUGGCUAGAGCGCCGGCUGCACUAAAGCCUUCGACUUGGUGGCGUGGAUUCGAAUCCCACGGAGGCCG